UGAAAAUUUUCUUUUUGCAAACCUAGGUAGAUAUGAUAUAAACUCAAGAAAACAUUGUUUUCUUUUUAAAGCAUUGUUAUAUUGUUCAGCAAGGAGGAAGAGUAAAAUAAUCAUCGACACAACAUUUGAUUAUCUUUCCACAAGACCACAACUUUUUUGAUAUGUUUUUUGAGUUGGUAAUGAAGCAAAAAGAGUUUGCUCGUUAUGCAGAGAAACUUAUAUUAAUCCUCGAAACCUGUAGAAAUUUGUUUACAUGGUCACUCCUUCUUGCCUUCAGGUUUAACUUCAGUUUCUAUUGGUUCCUCCUCUGUGUUCACCGCCUUCUCCUCCUUCACCGUAUCUUUGGUCACCGGAGUCAUUAGAGAAUCGAAUUUGUCUGAUUUCCCCAAUACAAUCUCAAUCUGAACAUCAGUUCAAAAAAAAUUCUCAAUCUGUACAUGACACAAAUGCAAUAUAAUAAAAUCGAAAAUACUUUAAUAAUAAGAUCUUAGUUAAAGCUAUUUUAAGAGAGAAAUAAAUGACUGGCCUUGGCCUUCUGAACUACUCUCCCUUUGUUCUCGUCCUUCAUUCCCACUGUUGAUGUCAGAACUUCUGUUUGUUUGUUUCACACAAAUGAAAUUUUCAGCAAAAAAAUAAAAUAAAAUAAGGAAGAGAUAAAGUUAACUCGACACAACAUUUGAUUAUCUUUCCACAAGACCACAACUUUUUUGAUAUGUUUUUUGAGUUGGUAAUGAAGCAAAAAGAGUUUGCUCGUUAUGCAGAGAAACUUAUAUUAAUCCUCGAAACCUGUAGAAAUUUGUUUACAUGGUCACUCCUUCUUGCCUUCAGGUUUAACUUCAGUUUCUAUUGGUUCCUCCUCUGUGUUCACCGCCUUCUCCUCCUUCACCGUAUCUUUGGUCACCGGAGUCAUUAGAGAAUCGAAUUUGUCUGAUUUCCCCAAUACAAUCUCAAUC
rnacentral:lncRNA from 1 species